GAAAAAUAAAGCAUUUUCUGUGUUCAUUCGUUAGUGAGUUUGACAAAAUGUCAUGUAGAUGGUACUGUAAUAAAUGCGGCAAUGCGGAAUGCUAAAUGCCAUCCAGAAAGGAUUCUCAAAAGCAGAUUUAUUACCAUGUGCAUUGACUAUACAACUUCUGUGGGACUACAGCCGGAUAUUCGAGCACGAGAUUGGGAUAAUUGAUAAGCCUUAUAUAGACCUUGCUUCGAAAUAGUUAUUAUUUUUAAUUUGGUUUUCUUUUUUUAUAGUUUGGUCCAGCUGACAAACAAUUGUGAUUUUUUUCAGAGGAGAGAAAUUUUUCGACGGAAAUUUCAAAGUGUCGUGUUAAAUUUCGACCGCUUUUUGAAUCAAAUUAAAUUGAAUCUUUUCACAAAACGGAACACGCGUCCAUAUGAUGGAAUGACUCUAAAGUUAAAAUUUAGUAAUGAGUAUUAAUUUCAGAUUUUCCUGCUUUCAGCCUUUUAUGGGACAUCCGUUAAAAGUGCAUGUGGAACAGAACUUCAAUGCGUUUACAGAAACCUACAAUAUCAUGGAGCGCAGCAAACAAUUCCACAUACGUCAUCUGAUGCAUGUGAACUCAGAUGUUAUGGUUAUUAAAUGUUAUGUACAUGUUUCAGGGUUUCAUUCAUUGGCUUUGCUAUUUGCAGGUGAUGCAGCAUAUCGAUUUAUAUACCUCAAUGUAGGGAUAUUCGGAAGUGAAGGAGAUUGUAAUAUAUUGAG